rnacentral:rRNA from 1 species
AUUGAACGCUGGCGGCAGGCCUAACACAUGCAAGUCGAGCGGAUGACGGGAGCUUGCUCCUUGAUUCAGCGGCGGACGGGUGAGUAAUACCUAGGAAUCUGCCUGGUAGUGGGGGACAACGUUUCGAAAGGAACGCUAAUACCGCAUACGUCCUACGGGAGAAAGCAGGGGACCUUCGGGCCUUGCGCUAUCAGAUGAGCCUAGGUCGGAUUAGCUAGUUGGUGGGGUAAUGGCUCAUCAAGGCGACGAUCCGGAACUGGUCUGAGAGGAUGAUCAGUCACACUGGAACUGAGCCACGGUCCAGACUCCUACGGGAGGCAGCAGUGGGGAAUAUUGGACAAUGGGCGAAAGCCUGAUCCAGCCAUGCCGCGUGUGUGAAGAAGGUCUUCGGAUUGUAAAGCACUUUAAGUUGGGAGGAAGGGCAGUAAGUUAAUACCUUGCUGUUUUGACGUUACCGACAGAAUAAGCACCGGCUAACUUCGUGUCAGCCGCCGCGGUAACAC